rnacentral:lncRNA from 1 species
CGCGUGCAUACGACGCGACGCUUCGUCGACUCGUGUGCCUCGUAUCGACAGGAUAUUUCGUAUCCGGCCGGAAUAGGAGCGCGAGAUUAUUUCCGAUACGCUGGCGAAUUUGGAUGAAUAUACGUCCACGGGCGAACGCAAAUCAAAUCCGCACCGGAGAGUCAGGUCGGAAAGUUUAACUGAGAAGUUAGUGGCUCGCGCGCGUAACUCAGCUCAACGCGGAAGUAAGAAAAUCCGCCUAUCAAAGUUAAUCUAGCGUAACAUCGAACGCUCGAGAGUGUACACGAAAUUCUUCAAGUGUCCAACAAGAUUUACCCCGGGCCAUCGCCGGUACAUCAGUUCGCUCUCGUUGAUUUUACACUCGUAGCCUAUCCAUUGUUUCUCAAUGGUUGUUCCGUGAAUACCGUUUAGAGUGCCGUUAGCUUUGAAAAUUCGAAGUGUGCGAGAAGUAUCGAGCACUCCGGCAAUGAGCCGGUGAGGAAAGAGGGUAGGAGGAAUCGUUACUGCUUUCUAUUAUCCUCCGAUGCGAGUUAUCGACAGUAGAGUGGAAUUGCUCAUAUUCGAUACGCGUCUGUCUAUAUCUUGUCUCUACAGAAAGGUAUUAUUGAUACUGUCGAUACUAGCGAUAACGUUUCUCCUAACUUUGCCAUUGGCGGCGUGCAUGCGCAGUUGCGUCGAACUGGAACAAAAGUGUAUCGAGUGCUCGACGGAUGAGUCUCUCGGUAUCCAUCAACACCAUCCGCGAUAAUAUCCGAGUGCGUCUGACGGAGCGGCUUAACGUUGAUAUAUGAAGAAGCUGAUUUUGGUGUGGCCUUAAGUUCCUUCAGCAAAUUCUCUUUUACAUACUGCCUUAAAAGCUUAUCACUUACCACGAAGUGGUAAUUUGAGUUUUGGGAAGAGAAAAACGUCACAGAGUGCCAUAUCUGACGAGUACGGUGCUUGCGGAAUAAUGUUAGUCGAGUAUUUGGCCAAAUAGUCACGUACGAGAAAUGAUGUAUGCGAUGGUGUAUUAUCGUGAUGCAAAAUCCAUGAUGUUGUCUUCGGUCAAAAUGGUGUAGACAGAGCCAUUUGUUAUAUUAAGCUCGGCAACAAUCUCUCUUUCACUCACAUAGCGAUUUUCAAGCAUUAAUUUAUUCACUCUUUUAACGUUUUCGUCGGUAUUUGAUGUGGAUGGGCGACUAAAACGAGCAUUUUCAACGCGUCGACACAAGAAAUGUCAUUGAAAACACAAAAUUUAAGGCAAACUCUUUGCUUCAUACUAUUCGACAUCGCAAAAAUCGCAGAUAGCAUCUGAAGUCGACUGACAUAAACAGCUGCCACGAACAAUGUUCAAAAACUUAUUUCAGAAAUUCGGAAUUCAUUCCUUCUCCGAGCCCGGACAAUAUUACAUAUAUAUUUAGAAUCAGAAUUAAAGAUAAAGGUGUGAAGUUUUACAAAACAAGAUCUUAAUCCAAAUCUAGAACUUGACCAAGACAUAGAAAGAUUCUAUUCAUCCCUAAUUCCUGGAUUCCUAGACUAUCCAGACUGAAUUUGAGAGACUUCUCUUAUAGCUGAACCCAUCAUAAAAUU